rnacentral:tRNA from 1 species
AAAGAAUUAGUUUAAUAAAAACAUCAGAAUGUCAAACUGAAGAUAUUUAACUAAAUAUUCUUUA